rnacentral:lncRNA from 1 species
CGAACAAAUUUUCUUCUCUGUGGGAGCUUCAUUUUGGGAGCCAUUUGGACAAGAAGAACUUCUAAGGAGUUUAGGAGACUAAAUGAGGUAGAGAGGAAAGGAUUCUAGUGGAAAUGUCAAGAUUUUGGAGAGGUGAAGUGUCGAUUUGGAGAAAAGAGGUGGAAUCUAGGGCAAUCUUGAAUCACCCAAACGAGGAAGAAAGAGGAGAGGAAGUUGGCUUCUAAACGGGCGAUUUGAAGGAUGAAAAUCGAUGGAAAGAGAGAUUUGAGAGAAAUCUUCGGUUUGAGGGAGA